UGAAUCUCAAGCAUCUCUGGAGCUUAAAAUUAGACAUAUAAUUUGUCUAUCAAUAUGAUGCAAUGUAUUUAUUCUGAUAAGAAUUUUUUUUAUGCCAUUGUUAAUGUUUAUGCUUCCAUUUGUGCUCUAAAUUAGUUUUAUAACUUUCCCAAACUUAAUUGUCUUGAUCUGCUACUACAAGAGACACAGUUAGACAUUAGUUAUUUGAAUAGGAAAACUGAAAAUAUUCAUUCUUUAGAGAAUGACAAACUUACAGAUUAUUUUUUUUUGCAUUUCUACGGAACUAAGUGUUACAUUUAUGGGCCAAUAUAUUUGUGGUUUCUUUUCAUUAAUCUCUAGGUUACUACUGGCACACAGCUAAAUAUAUAAGCCUUCCCUUCUUGAUUCCUUUUUUACUAAAAAUUUGUUCCAUCUCAUACUUGGUUGCUUGCUACUUAUCUUUGAUGAUCUUGUUGAACCAAAAAUAUCUUUGCAGCUAUGAAUUCUACAUAAGACAACACAAAAUCUUUGUACAAAGUGAGAGCAGAAAUGCGAAGUACAUUGAACAUUCAUUUGAAGAUAUUUUGAAGGUGAAUGGAGGUAUUCAGAAACUCCAACUAAAUAGCUCGAGUAUAGAUAAUUACAGGAGCAACAACUACAUGCUAUAUGACACUGCAUAUGAACUCCAAGGGUGUGACUGAAAAGUAUUUCGAUGAAAAACUAUCAAGAAGGCUUUGGGAUUUAAGCGAGAAAAUGGUGGUGUCUCUGCUAGCUUUCAAAUGCUAAAACCCACUAUGCUGGUUCUUAUCACAAUGGUCCUUCUUGUUCGGUUUACUCUUUCAAGAAGGUCAGAGAAUUACAGUCAAUGGGAUAUAGGCAAGGGAUUGAAUUUGAAAACUCGAACCCACAGGCCUGAGUAGAUGUGAGUUCGUAUGGGUGGAUAUGCUUUGUUUCCCAUACACCAUUGCAAUAAACUCAUAGACAUGCAUCCACAAAAAUAACUGCCAUUCUUUCUUCCAUUGACAGGGUUCAACAGGAAU